UGAAAUUAAGUAGCCAUAUUGAUAGAAGAUUAAGGGAGAGAAGAUCCGAACGACAAUAUUCAGACCAGCCAAACAAAAAGUUUUCCAGUCCUAACCAACCUACUCUUAGGUCUACUAGUCCCACCGGAGCUGAAGCUAUGGAUAUCAGCAUCUUCAGGGGACCUCUAUCACCGGAUGAACGUAUGAGAAGAAAGACCCGGGGCCUUUGCAUGUAUUGUGGUGAUCCAGCUCACAGUCUUAAGGACUGCCCUAUCAUACCCCAGAAAAAGAACAUGGGCAAGUAAACAGAUCUCCGUCCCUGCUAUCCUUGACACCGGAGCUCAAGGCAACUACAUCGACAGCUCAUUAGUGUCUAUCAAUAAAAUACCCCUGAUUAAGAAA